CUGUUCCUUUUUCCUAUGCAUAUACUUCUUUGAGGGUCGGGCCUAAAGAGGUGUAGGGCAUGGGAAAACGGGGCGG
rnacentral:pre_miRNA from 1 species